ACAUUACAAAUUAAAGUUACUUUACAUAAAUUUACAAUCCUAUGUUUUUGUCAACUUUUACAAAUCAUAUCUAGUAAAUAUAUUUUUUUUUAAAUAAUAGUUUAUACAUUUUUAAAUUGGGAAAAUGUACUACAAUAUAGCAAUAUAUUAUCUAUCUAUAAAUCCAAUGGGCCGUUAACAUUUAAAUUCAAUGAUCCUAAACACAAUAUUGAUUGUAAUGUAAUCUUAUACGAAUAGCUUUGAUUGAUAUAUAUACCUUUAGAAUAUCCAAUUAGUAAACCCUCACGUCAUAUUUAAUGAUUUGUGAAUAUACCUUUGAAAAUAUAUACGAUUACGGAAUAUUUUCAAAAAUAAAUAUUGCAUGGAUUAGUUAUGGUCGAUGAGACCUUUAUGGAAAUACAUAAUAAAUUAUAUGAAUAUUAUGGAAUAUAGGUAAUAUUUUCAGGCCUGAAUAUUGUUGAGAUUUAUAUUGUAACUGAAUGGUGGUUUUGAAUAUCUAUGGUAAGUAUGGUAAGUAUUGUUGAUCACUUGAGGUCGGGUUAAGUACGAUGUGUGAUGUUGUUUAUCAACUGUGUAAAACGAACAGGUUGAAUAGUCAAUCAAAUUAUAUAUUAGUAUUGUUUGACAAAACCGGUUGAAUCCGAUUUUAUUUGUUUAUUUACUGUAUAACGCGAACCGGUAAAAAAAUUGAAUUUUAUUAACAAAAAUUUAGAUUCGAUAUAGGAAUACUUUUGAAAAUAGAUAUACCAAGGUCGUAUGUAAUUAAUUGAUGAUGCCAAUAUAUGUUGGUUACACAAACCGAUAUUAUAGGCGUAUAUAUGAGGUGAUAUAGUAAGUCACAAAGCAUUAAUAAAAAUGGAGGGUCCAUUUUAAAAAAAAAUCACACAUGAAAAUAAGUCAUGAUUUCUGUUUUAAUAUAAUAGAUAGAUAUGCAAAUAUACUUCUUUAGUCAACUCCAUAAAUGUGUAUAUACUUCUAUUUCCAAAAAUAAAAGAAUAUUAGCAAAAGUGGAAGAUUUUAUGACUGUAAACUACAUGUGGAAUUCGAAAACUGAGACUUUCGUUGAUAAAAGAGUUCUAUAAAUACAAUUCUUCAUGGAUGACUAGUAAAUACUACAGAACAAAUUUUCUUCUUAGUACAACUAAUAUUAUAACAAUACAAAAUGGGUAUCACUAGAAUUUUUCUAACUACUUCUCUUCUAAUAGUAUUCGCAAUUUCGAUUCCUUACAACGUUUCGGCAGUGUCGGGGAUCGAGCCAGCAAAAAAAACUACUCUUUGUUUUCACCAAUGUGGUGGAAUAUAUGAUGAUCAUGCAUGCUUCACUGACUGCAUACAUAAAAAAUACGAUCAUGGAUUAUGUAUGAAUAAUCAAUGCUGUUGCUUCAAUGAUAAUUGAACGUAACUCUCGAUAUUUGGCGAAUUGAAUUUGGUAUUUUAAGUAUUAUGAAAAAAUCGUUGUUGCUUUUCAUUGUUUUCAACUUCUUGAAAAUGAAAUAAAAUUAUGAUUUAUUUUA